GACGAACGCUGGCGGCGUGCUUAACACAUGCAAGUCGAACGCUGAAGCUCAGCUUGCUGGGUGGAUGAGUGGCGAACGGGUGAGUAACACGUGAGUAACCUGCCCUCUUCUUUGGGAUAACGCCCGGAAACGGGUGCUAAUACUGGAUAUUCACUGAUUCUCGCAUGGGGGUUGGUGGAAAGGUUUUUUCUGGUGGGGGAUGGGCUCGCGGCCUAUCAGCUUGUUGGUGGGGUGAUGGCCUACCAAGGCUUUGACGGGUAGCCGGCCUGAGAGGGUGACCGGUCACAUUGGGACUGAGAUACGGCCCAGACUCCUACGGGAGGCAGCAGUGGGGAAGAUUGCACAAUGGGCGAAAGCCGGAUGCAGCGACGCGGCGUGAGGGAUGGAGGCCUUCGGGUUGUAAACCUCUUUCGCUCAUGGUCAAGCCGCAGCUUUGGGUUGUGGUGAGGGUAGUGGGUAAAGAAGCGCCGGCUAACUACGUG
rnacentral:rRNA from 1 species